UCCAGGCUGAAGACAACAGACCGGAUAAAACGAAGAAAAGUUUACCAUUUAAUCCAGCAUCAGUUACUGAACAGGAUUGGCUGUAGCACACGUGACAAACCCACUUACGUGUACCCAGCUGAGCUCAAAGAGAUGGUCCGAGCAGCCUUUGCAAACGACAUCUGUGACUAUGACGACCCCUGUCACGAAAAUGUUGUUGCCAUCACUAUGGAUGACUUGAAAAGGAUG